rnacentral:rRNA from 1 species
CUGGCUCAAGGCCGGAUUCCUUCGGGAGGCAACCGGUGGAACGAGCGGCGGACGGGUGAGUAACACGUGGGCAACCUGCCGGACUGAUGGGAAUAACCCCGGGAAACCGGGGCUAAUGCCCAAUACGCCCUGACCUCGCCUGAGGUCAGCGGUAAAGCAGGGAUCUUCGGAUCCUUGCACAGUCCGAUGGGCCCGCGGCGCAUUAGCUAGUUGGAGAGGUAAGGGCUCCCCAAGGCGACGAUGCGUAGCCGACCUGAGAGGGUGAUCGGCCACACUGGGACUGAGACACGGCCCAGACUCCUACGGGAGGCAGCAGUAGGGAAUCAUCCGCAAUGGGCGAAAGCCUGACGGUGCAACGCCGCGUGAGUGAUGAAGGUUUUCGGAUCGUAAAGCUCUGUUGACAGGGAAGAACCCACGCCAGUCGAACAGGCUGGCGUGCUGACGGUACCUGUCCAGAAAGCCCCGGCUAACUACGUGCCAGCAGCCGCGGUAAUACGUAGGGGGCAAGCGUUGUCCGGAAUUAUUGGGCGUAAAGGGCACGCAGGCGGUUUCGUCAGUCCGAUGUGACAGGCCACGGCUCAACCGUGGAAGGCCAUUGGAAACUGCGAAACUUGAGGACAGAAGAGGAGAGUGGAAUUCCACGUGUAGCGGUGAAAUGCGCAGAUAUCGGGAGGAA